UUUAGGUUUAUGAUCCUUUUUUUUUUUUUGAGACAGGGUCUCACUCUAUCACCCAGGCAACCAGGCUGGAAUGCAGAAGUAUGGUCAUUGCUCAUUUCAGUCUCAAGCUCCUGGGCUCAAAGGAUCCUCCUACCUCAGCCUCAAGAGACAGAGUUUAGUUUUGUUGCCCAGGCUGGAGUGCAGUGGUGUGCUCAUAACUGUCUGUAGCCUUGACCUCCUGUGCUCAAGUGAUCCUCCUGCAUCAGUUUCCCAAGUAGCUGGGACUACAGAAGACAACAGAAGAUGAAGGCUUUGGCUCUGGGAAAAGAGUUACCUGGAUACUGAUCCUGAUGUCUCUCACUUAAACUCUCCAAGUCUUACUUUCUCAUCAGCUAGUACUUUAAUCAGCAUUUAAUGACCCAGUCGAAAAUUCAUCGUUUGGACCCAAGCACUGGUGGGAAGGCAGGAGGGGAGGCCUGCCUGCCUCCCUCCUUCCCUUCCUCCUGAGCCCUACAGCAGGCCAUGGAGUGGUAGGCUUGGCCCAUUCUCUAGACCUUGGAAGAUAAUGUUCCAUAGAGGCCUGUUCUGAGGCUUUACCAGGUCAAAGCAGAGAAGAACCAAGCAAUGUAACUCAUCCCAGCCUAACUAUCCUUCAAGGGCAAUCAACCUACAGCAUCCAAGCACAGAGAAAUCAAAUCCAUGGAGAAUCUUUCAAUUAGGCUCAGAAUUUAUUUGGGACACUGGAUUUACUGUUAUCAAGAUCUUAGUUGAUUUGAUCCAUGAUUUGACCUACUUUAGAGUGAGAAGAUAGUCUUCCUGGGCUCAGACUAGUUGAAGGAACAAUCAUGUCAACUGUACCCCAAGAAACAUGAAAAGCUCACCAAGGACAGCUUUGAAGUGGUCACUCUUCAUGGCCCUGACCGGGCCCUGGAGUAAAGGACACCAGCUUGGUGUGCUGACCUGAAAGACAUGAGUCUGGCAGUGAUAGGGCCCCUGGGAGCAGAAACCAGAGACAGGCACCCACAGCAAAGGCAUGCAGAGUCCAGAAAGCCCCAUCACUCAGCCUGAGAGAGCUGGGGCAAAAUAGAGGGCCUCAAGACUCUAGAAGAGACGUUUCAUAAGUCUCAUCAAAUUAAAGACUAAUUAGAAAAAAAAUUCAUGGGAAAUCAUUGAAAAACAAGUAAACCAUCCAAAGCCUGAGAUUGUUUAAAAACAGCUUAUUGGAAGUCCAAAGACUGGACAAGUUGAGGAAUAAAGAAAACAUCUUAUGUGAUGAGAUGGUGACUUUAAAGCGACUUCUGUGGCAAAGAGGCAUCCUUUGCAAAUGGGAAGAUUGGCCAAGCUCAGAGAACAGGGUUUAGGUAAGUUAAUGGAUGACAGCACCAUAAAAGGUUAUUAAGGGGAACCUGGCUCUGCUUAGGAGCUGCACUUGUGAUAUCUGGGGAAUGACUGCACAUUCCCAAGGCAGGAUCCUUGUGUCCUACCCGGAGAUAGACAAUGGGCCCAGAACCCAGAAAGAAGGAGGCACUGCUGGGUCUCUGGUUAUUUCUAGGGGUCCUCCAUAUGGAUGUGAUAGUCCACUUCAAUUUUUCUUUUUUUUUUUGAGACGGAGUCUUGCUCUGUCACCAGACUGGAGUGCAGUGGUGCGAUCUUGCCUCACUGCAACCUCCACCUCCCAGGUUCAAGUGAUUCCCCUGCCUCAGCCUCCUGAGUAGCUGGGACUACAGGCAUGUCCCACCACGCCUGGCUAAUUUUUUGUUUUAGUAGAGAUGGGGUUUCACCACAUUGGCCAGGAUGGUCUUGAUCUCCUGACCUCGUGAUCCAUCCUGCUUUGCCUCCCAAAGUGCUGGGAUUAUAGGCAUGAGCCACCAGACCUGGCCUCAAUUUUUCAAAGAAAGAAAAAAGGAAAAAUGCUCAGACUCAUGCUGAAUUUUUGGAAAGUCGAUUUUCAAAUGCGUCUGUGUUUCAGGUUAGAAGAGUUAUGAAAGAAAACGCAGGAGGAGCAUAGUGGAUAGCCUUCAUCACUGGGUUCCAGACACUGCUUGAGUUCAGGUCCCACCCCACCACUGCAUAGCUGGGUGACCUUAAGCAAGUUACUUAACCUCUCUGUGCUUCAGUUUUCUUCCCUCUGGAAUGGGGUAAUAUUACUUUGCUGGCUUAUGAAAAUGAAAUGAGUUAAUAUGGUAUAUGCUUAGAAUAGUGCAUGGCCUAUGGUGAGUGCUCAGUGUCUGCUUAGGUUGUUGUUACUCUCAAGAAAAGGGCCAAGUUGCAUUAGUUCCCACUCCCUUCCUGCUGAUUAACCAAUGAAGGGUGGCUUUGGGAACAUAAGAGAGGAGUCAGGGCAGGCAUAUGUGCCUCUUACUUUCCUGGAGGAGCCCCAGUGAGGAGGUCAAGUGCCCUGGUCCUGGUUCUAAAUCCACUGUUUAGAGUAGCAAGUAUAUUUGAAGUGGAGAUUACCCCUUUGGCCGCAAAGAUUCAGCUAGGUAGGGGACAAGGAGUGACUGUGUCACUAUAAAGUUAUCUACAUAGGUAAUCUGUGCCUCCCAAAACAUUUUGAUUAGAGAACAUUGUGCUUAGGAGGGAUGCUCCCUCUAGGCCAUGGGAACAAAUAGGUUUGAGCUCUUUUGUAUAUACCAUUGCUUGAUAACAGCUGUGGGCUAUAUCCUAUUGGGGAUUCUGAAUCCACAUCCGAAUGUUGGGGAAAGGGUGCCAAGAUCAAACAGUGAUGCAGGCUAGGAACACAGGAUACAGGAGUGUCAGCACUGGCUGGAAAGUAAAAAACCCUGUCUGCCCAUAAUAGCCUGGCCAGAGGUAGCCUGGGUUCCUAGAUAUGGCAUCCACAUCCCGAGCAAUGGUAAGGCAAAAUGACUUCUCUGCCCUCCUCCACCAGGCCUGGCAGCCCUGGGAGCUUCUCCACUCCUGGGGUCACCUCCCAAAUCCUUAUCUCAGAAUCUGCUUCUGCCAAACUAAGGCAGAGGUUAGCUGGCUGCACCACUUUGCGUUACUGAAGCGAGAUAAUUGCCAACACACUUGCCCACCAGAAAGGCCAUAUGUGUAUCUAUCUGGCUAUGUAUCCACCUAGCAAGGCCUACACACAGCCCAGAAAGAAUCAGAACAUUUGCAUCUUUAGGAAGAAGUUCCCUCCUCCAGCUCAGGAAAUUGUCCCUGUACCCCCCACCCAGAAAAUCUUGUAGCCUGUGAUGAGAUCGCUCUCUCUGGUUCUCUCUCACCAGCCGUCUGUUCCUAACAACCCCACCCACGCACCGGAGCUUCUCUGACUUGAUAUUGCAGGAUGCUGUCACUUGAAAUUAAUUGCAACUAAUUAAAAAUGAUCCGGUUAGGACAAUUGCACAAUGGUGCUCCGGAGACUGCUUCAUUCCCAGAGGUUUGGUGGCGUUUGCGGCUGCUGCAGCCCUGGUCUGCUGGACGGGGCCAUACAUCAUUGUGUCAUUUUACAUUGUUAUUUCUCUGAAAGCAGCAAUUUAAAAGAGUCUCAGAUGAACCUUGAGCAACUUCGUGCUAAAAAGAAAAAUGUUACUGUCCAAGAUCUGUAAAAUAUAACAUAUAGGCUCAAAGAAGCCUCUUGACAUGAAAGGCGGCCCUAAGUUUGUGCCACGAUUUGCAUAUCAUAUAUAAUGUUGUAGUAAAAGGACCCACAAAGCAGAAGGCAGCUGCGGAGCAUCGAUCCUCAUCCCCUUUGUUCAAACUGGGUCACCUACUGUCCCUGGUUAUUAUUUUAUCACAGCCAUUCCUCACGUAAGGUGACAGGACAGCAUCUAACCUACUGGGUUCCGAGGACUGCCACACCUCCCCCUUAUUUAGUAGAAGACCCAAGGGUCCUUCUUGGCUCUGAUUCUGAAAGCAUUGCAGGUCCUGCUUCGUCCUGCCAUUUUCCAAGCUGAUCCCAGGAGCAGUAGUCCUGUUAGGAAGAGCCAUUUAUUGGACUUGUGUAAGGCCCAGUAAACCUCGAGUUAGGGCAUUGAACCUCGAUAAGCAUCCAGAAUGCCCCCAUACCUCACUAGGAGGGACUUCAGGCAGCUUAAAUGAAUUCUGGCCCUAUGUUCUUGAGCUACAAAUCAUUCCUCUUAGGCUACCUGCUGCCUCAUCUAGCUCUGUGGUCUCCAUGGUGCCCUUCAAACCCCUCCACAUCAACAGGACAGGCGAGAAGCAGGCAUUUGAGCAGAAAGGGGUAUGUCCCAAAAGCAUCUUCCAAAAUUAUUCUUCUAAUCCUCUGGCUCAUUCUGCAACUUUAAAAAAUGAGCUGAUUUUCAAGGGUACCAAUAAGAAUAACAAAUCUCUGCAAAAUAGAAAGGUUCAAAAAUAAAAAAUCAAGACCUUUAAAAUGAAAGGUCCAGGAAUAGAAAGGACUAGACAGAAGAGAUGAAAGGAGAAAGAAUAGUAAAGAGAUAUGCAGAUAAAUCUUAUGUAAUUACUAAAAUUUGACUCUGGGCUUCCUGGAGGCCAAAGCAAAGAAGGAAGGACCCACAAAGACAUAUGAUUAAUUACAUAUGAUUAAUUACAAAUGUUACACACAGACCAGCUCCUUAACAGAAUCAAGGUUCUUUUGCAUUGACCUCAUUUGGGUCAUGUACCUGACAUCGCCCUCCACACACCCUCAUACUUCAGUCAAGGGUAAGGCUCGUGGAGCUCCCUGCAUUGGAAAUGGAUGACCUGGCAAGCCAACUGUCUUGGAAAUCCAGGAGAUUUGCAUCACGUAUGUGGUUCACUAAUGGAUGGUUUCAUUCAGGGGUGAGACUUUAAUACUGGAAAAGUGCAAGGACUAACUCCAACCUGACCAUCGAAUUAUUUUCCAUACAAAGUGUUUCUUUCAGCUCUGCUUUUAUUGGAAGCUGAGCAGCAGACAGUUUGAGGUUAUAGUUUCAAAGACUGGAAUGCAAGUAUUCAAUAUGCCUGAGAAUUGGAUUUAGAUACAUCAAACAUAGCGCAUCUGUACAGUGGGAUACUAUGCAAACAUCGAUAGGAACAAGGGAGACUUCACAUGCUGUUAGGAAAGGUUAAGAUACAGUAUUAAGUGGGGAAAAAAGCAAGUUGCAAAACAGUGGGUAUAUUAUUAUCCCACUUGUAUCAAAAAUUAAUAAUAAAGCAUGUGGGUACAGAAAAUUUCUGGAAGGAUACACAAAAAUUGGUAAGUGUUUAACUUUGGAUGAGAAUUUUACAGCUUACCCAAGCCCUCCUUACUAUAAUUAUGUAUUGCUUUUUGAUAUGGUUUGGCUCUGUGUCUCUACAAAUCUCACCUUGAAUGUAAUAAUCUCCACAGGUUAAGGUGGAGAUAAUUGAAUCAUGGGGGCAGUUUCCCCCAUGAUGUUCUCAUGAUAGUGAGUGAGUGCUCAUGAGAUCUGAUGGUUUUAUAAGGGGCUUCCCCCUUCACUGGACUUUCAUACUUCUCCUUCCUGCCAUCAUGUGAAGAAGGAUGUAUUUGCUUCCCUUUCUGCCAUGACGCCUGCUACCCCUUCAAGCUAAGAUGUUUUAUGCUGGAUGCCUCAAGGAAGAGAGGACAGCAGGAAGAAAUGUCCUGACUUUUGACUUUUAAAAGCCUGGCUCAAAAUGAGAAGAGUGAGGGGCAGGAAAAAGGGCCCAGGGAAAGAAGUAAAAAAUAAUGUAUGAAAAUAUCUCACUGCCAAGACUAGCAAAUGGGGACCUGGGAGGGUCAGAGGGGAGAAUCUGAGAGGACCAGGACUGGCCCUGGAGGAACUGUGCUUGGAGCAGAGACAGCAUCCAGGGAGCUCUGAACUUCCUCUUAGAGAAGCUGAGUCAGCACUCCUGGUCCACAGAGUCUCUGUCCAAAGGUUAAGAUGUGGAUCAAGAAAGGCUGGAAGGCUGCAGGACUUCAGGAGGGAAUGUGGGAGGCUGCUCAGCCUGGGACACUAUUGUUUAAUGGUUUGAACCCAAACACUGGGAGCACUCAACAGAAAUCUGUUGUGGUUUGGCAACAGCAGGUAGGUGUUUCCAGAGCUGAUCGGAUCCCUCUCUACCCUCCCCCUCUCUCUCUACCUGCUUCAGCCUUUGCUGUCACUGCCCAAGAUCUUUGCUCCUCAGUCUAUACAGCCUACCAUGGCUGCUCUCAGACUUAUACGUCCUUGAUUUAACACCCAAAGCCAGACUGACUUCUUUCUCCAUUCUCGGCCCCUUAUUCCUGAGGCCAUUUGUGAUUGGCCCAGCUUGGAUCAGGUAGGUACCAAUCAGGCAUUCAUCCCUGGACCAAUCUGUGGCACAUGGGGCUGGAGUCCAUUGUAUUAAGUCUGCAGAUACCAGGGUAAUCUAUGAUGGGAGUGAUGGGGUGGACGGGGUGGUCUCUGAAGGGAAAGCCAUGACCAUUCCCCUUGGCUUUCACUCUACUCUGCCUACCAUCUUACCUCUGCCACCGUCUGCUCCUCGUGCCUGCCUGCCUCAUUCAGUCUAUUUUUUUUUGGAGAAGGAGUCUCACUCUGUUGCCCAGGCUGGAGUGCAGUGGCACAAUCUCUGCUCACUGCAAUCUCCGCCUCCUGCAAGUUUUUAUUUUUAUUGUGUAUUUUUACACAAUAAGAGUUUUUAUUUCAUAUUUUUCUUAAUACAAAAGCAACAUGCAUGCAUUGUAGAAAGAUAGACUCUUACGUGCCAAGAAGCACAAGUCUCUUGGAUUUAGAAAUCAAAAAAGACAUGGUCCAGAGAGGGAGGUGAACAAGUAACUCAGUGACAUUCGUACUGAACGUUGUGAUUGGGCUUGUCUACUCCACUGAAGGGCGAGGCACUCGAGAGAAGAGACAAUAUCCACCGCAGCAUCUAAGUAGUUCAAAAUAGGGCAUAGGUUUUCUGUAAGCACUUGCCUGACUUAAUGAAUGACUGUGCCCUGAGGCUCAGCCUUGCCAGGGUGGCUGGGAAAUCCACUCAGCCUGGGACAGGAUUGUUUAAUGGUUUGAACCCAAACACUGAGAGCACUCAAUACAAAUCUAUUGUGGUUUGAUAAGAGUAGGUUGGUGUUUUCAGAGCUGACUGCAAGAUCAGUCUAAGCCCCUGUGGGCAACAACCCCCAAUCCAAGCCUGAGUCUCCUGGACUGUGUUCAGGUUUGGGAGAGUUUAAGGGUAUUUUCCCAACUGGAGCCCUCUUUGGGUCUCCAAGGCACCCUGGAUCUGUUUCCAUUACAGCCCCCAUUAGCCUCCAGGGGCUCUUUCUCAUUCACAGCUUGGUUUUCCUAGUAGGCAGAGAGCCAGAGAAGGCAAAGACCUUUUCUUGUUCACCCCUGUGUCCUUGAGAGCUUCCUUCCAGAGAGAGGAAAGAAGGAAGGGAGGCAGGGAGGAAGGAAGGGAAGAGCCAAUCUGCUCUUGUACACGGUGAAAAGUGAACCUUUUCCCAAGGCGCACAAGCUCCGCCCCUCUUGAGGGUGGUGCAUGUGUCCCCCAUCUUUUGCAACUGUCAGAUGUGCACGGCUCACAGCUCAGCUCUUCACUGGACAUUGCCCUUGGCUGCAGGGAACUGCUUUGCCCAAAGUAAUGGCUCUAUCUGUGUGGCCUGUGGCCAGUGACUGGCAGAUGGAGACACAAAGGCCAACCCUUUGCUUCAAUUGAGGACAACUCUGGGGGCCAUCUCAGCUCCAGAGCAUCCUCCAAGACUAGAUGAGGUAUCUGCUGCAAUGACAUUUGGGGUCACUUUCCCUCCUCCCAGUCCUGUCUUCUCAGUUUUCUUACAGAUGUAUCUCCUGAGAGCAUUCCCCAAUAUACCUGAAUGCACCUCCUUCUCUCAGUGGAUCUUUCCAAUCGAAGACACUCACCUUGCAGACUCUGGGUGCCCGCAGGAUAUCUGGAGCCUCCACUAAAGGCUGUGUUCACUCAUCCACCUGGGAUAACCUUUCCUAGAGACCAAGGAAGCUCUGCACACUGUUCUCAACACCAGACCAUAUGAGGCUGAGGGAGGGGCGCUGGAAUUACAGAAUCUGGAAGCCCUGGGUUCUGCCACUGGAGAGCCAGGUGACUUGGGCAACUCCAUUCACUCCUUACACCCACAAGGUUCUCAAAUGCAAAACAAGGAGAGGAAUUUCCUACCUCAUAGGGUUAAUUCAGAAUUCAUAAGUGAAUGGGAUUUGCACAGUACUGGGCACAAAGUAGAAAUACACGAGUGUGAAGAAAGUUUGGCUUUCAGAGCCUCCUGGCCACCUCCAGCUCCCUGCCUCCCUCUAUCCCUGCCCUCUUUCCACACAUCAUUCCAGGACACGUGUGGCCAGCAGCAGAAGGGCCAUCUGACCCCCACCAAGAGGCCUGUGGCUUUGGAACUAAUAUUACUUUCUUUGGGUCUCCACAUCGACUUGGCAUAGUCUGAAAUGUAAGUCAUCCCCCCUUCUCCCCUCUCCCUCUCCUCUUUUUUUUUCUCUUUCUGUCUUUCUUUUUCCUUUUUCUUGCUGAUUUUAUGAAAAGGGCUGGCAUUUUGAUUGUUCUAUUUUCAGGUUUAAUCCUUAUUUUAAUAAAGUUUUCACACACACACACACACACACACACACACACACACACACACAAAGUAAGUCAUGGCCUGGCAUGGUGGCUCAUGCCUAUAAUCCCAGCACUUUGGGAGGCUGAGGUGGGUGGAUCUCUUGAGGCCAAGAGUUCAAGGACAGCCUGGCCAACAUGGUGAAACCCUGUCUCUACUAAAAAUAUAAUACGCCAGCUGUGGUGGUACAUGCCUGUGGAUCCAGCUACAAGAUGGGAGAAACACUUGAACCUGGGAGAUGGAGGUUUUAGUGAGCUGAGAUCAUGCCACUGCACCUCACCCUGGGCUGCAGAGCAAGAUUCCAUCUCAAAAAAAUAAAUAAAUAAAAAGAUAAGUCAUGCCUGCUGUUCCCAUGGCUUCCUGUCCUCCUCAGGGUCUAACAGUUGGAUCCCCUCUUAUUUUUCUGACCCUUUUCUGCAACUGAGUCUCUUAAUUUCCUCCCACAUCAGCCUCUAGCUGUGUAUCACGCACACCAGACAGACUCCCACCUGGGGUCUUUGCACUUGCCACCCCCGCAUCCUAGAAGAGCUUUCCACCCAGCUCACUCUCUCUUCCCCUUCAAGUUCUUACCGAAGGUCAGAGAGGCCUUUCCUGACACCCCUGUCCCAUUAAAAAUAGCAAAACUCCCUGGCCCUGCCUAUCCCAACUCUCCAUUUCAGCACUCCUCACCAUCCAACAUGCAUGGAGUUUCUUUAUUCACUGCUUGUCUUUCUCCAUUGGAAGAGAGGACAGGGAUCUCUGCUUGUUUUGUUCUCUGCUGUCUCCCAGUACUUACAACGGCAUCUGGCAUGAAAUAUAUGCCCAAUAUGUUUUGUUAAGUGAAUGAAUGAACCUGUUUGUAUGCUUCACAGGCAGGUGAAACUGAGCAAAGCAAAUCCACUAGUGAAACCAUAGCAAAUUGAUGCUAGCCCCUGGAAAAGGAGAGAUAAAAGUCCCCAAGCUUGCCUGGAAUCAAAAGUUUGUCAGAAAACCAAACACUGCAUGUUCUCACUCAUAAGUGGGUGUUGAACAAUGAGAACACACAGACACAGGGAGGGGAACAUCACACACUGAGGCCUGAGGGGUGGGGGGCUGGGGGAGGAAUAGCAGGGGGUGGGGGGAUUGGGGAGGGAUAGCAUUAGGAGAAAUACCUAAUGUAGAUGACAGGGCAAUGGAUGUAGAAAACCACUACCAUGGUAUGUGUAUAUCUAUGUAACAAACCUGCACGAUCUGCACGUGUACCCCAGAACUUAGAGUAUAAUAAAUAAAUUAAUAAAAUAAAAAUUAA